GCUUUGGAUUAGUCACGUACGUAUUUUUAGUCAGUAGAUAAAGAUAUUGAAUUAGAUGUGUAUGUUCGUCAAUAACAACAACGAAAAUUUAUAAAACAAUUGUGUUUCCUAACAAACGAAAAAAACUGACUUCAAUUAC